AAAAAUUUGAAGAGCAACGAACACGGCAAGAGGAAGAAUUAGCUCAAAUGAAAGCUCAAUUGGAAGCUCAACAAGCUGUUGUCAACUCUCUCAUAGCGCGCUUUGACAAUGAAACAAACUAGACCCUAAAGGAGUGCUGAAAGGGUGACCAUAUGCAACCUAGAGGGCUCAAGAAUGUUUUGAUGCAUAGAGACACUAAUCUAUGUUAGAACUUUUAUGUUUUGGUUGAACUUUUAUGUUAGAACUUUUAUGUUUUGGUUGAACUAAUCCAUGUACUCACUAGCUAAUGUUAUUUUGUUUCAAGACAAUUUUAGCUAGAAGGAUCUUGUUUGACUUA